CUUGAUCACCAAGCAUGUAUUGCAUUUGUAUAUCAUUGCUUUUCAUAUGUUUACUAACCAAAUGUACAAAAAUAUUGUCAUCUAACCAUGUUGCUUGCAGCUGAAGCAAUCAUCAGUCAAUCAGUCAAAUCAGGCCUUGAGCAAUAGAUGGUGGCCAUUCUUGAAGAAUUUGGACACCAUUAUCAUUCAUAAAGAGUUCAUAUAACUUGUGAUAUCAUUUGAA
rnacentral:lncRNA from 1 species